GACGAACCGAGCGACCGUUGUUCGGAAUCACUGGGCUUAAAGGGCGCGUAGGCGGGCGGUCAAGUCAGGGGUGAAAGCCCCCAGCUCAACUGGGGAAGUGCCUCUGAUACUGGCCGUCUCGAGGGGGAUAGGGGCGUGCGGAACUUCCGGUGGAGCGGUGAAAUGCGUAGAUAUCGGAAGGAACAUCGGUGGCGAAAGCGACUUCCUGGACCAGUACCGACGUUCAGGCACGAAAGCGUGGGGAGCAAACAGG
rnacentral:rRNA from 1 species